UACGUAGGGUGCGAGCGUUUAAUCGGAAUUACUGGGCGUAAAGCGUGCGCAGGCGGUAAUGUAAGACAGAUGUGAAAUCCCCGGGCUCAACCUGGGACCUGCAUUUGUGACUGCAUUGCUGGAGUGCGGCAGAGGGGGAUGGAAUUCCGCGUGUAGCAGUGAAAUGCGUAGAUAUGCGGAGGAACACCGAUGGCGAAGGCAAUCCCCUGGACCUGUACUGACGCUCAUGCACGAAAGCGUGGGGAGCAAACAGG
rnacentral:rRNA from 1 species